rnacentral:misc_RNA from 1 species
GUAGGUGAACCUGCGGAAGGAUCAUUAACACGUAUCCACGUUUAACCCCGUGCCUCUUAGCUUAGGGUAUGUCUAUUUGAGAAAAGGCCUUCGCUUAGAACCAAACGAAGCGUAUCCAGAAAAGUGACACUAGGGAGCUGUUCGGUGUGGGAGAGAAUCUUAGGGUAGGACUUAGUAUGAGGAGAACUUCGGAUGACGUCAAUUGACUCAACAAAGUGUGUCUCGCAAAAUCCUACUUCGGUGGGAAUUU